GGGCCCAUCCCGUAAGGCUAAAUACUCCCGAGAGACCGAUAGCGAACCAGUACCGUGAGGGAAAGGUGAAAAGAACCCCGAGCAGGGGAGUGAAAUAGACCCUGAACCCGUCUGCCUACAAGCGGUCGGAGCGUCGUAAUGACGUGACGGCGUGCCUUUUGCAUAAUGAACCUACGAGUUACCUUCCCCGGCAAGGUUAAGUUCUUGAGGAACGGAGCCGAAGCGAAAGCGAGUCUGAACAGGGCGCCAAGUCGGGGGGGGUAGACGCGAAACCGAGUGAUCUACCCUUGGCCAGGUUGAAGGUUGGGUAACACCAACUGGAGGACCGGAUGGGUAAGCGUUGAAAAGCUUUCCAAUGAGCUGAGGGUAGGGGUGAAAGGCUAAUCAAACUCGGAGAUAGCUCGUACUCCCCGAAAUGCAUUUAGGUGCAGCCUCUUUAUAGUAUAUCGUGAGGUAGAGCGACUGAUUGGAUGCGAGGGCUUCACCGCCUAUCAAGUCCAGAUAAACUCCGAAUGCGCGAUAUAUAUUUACAGGGAGUGAGGGCGCGGGUGCUAAGGUCCGUGUCCGAGAGGAGAAGAAUCCAGACCACCGGCUAAGGCCCCCAAAUGAUCGUUAAGUUGAACUAACGAGGUCGGAUCGCAGAGACAGCUAGGAUGUUGGCUUGGAAGCAGCCAUUCAUUUAAAGAGUGCGUAACAGCUCACUAGUCGAGCGAUCUGGCGUGGAUAAUAAUCGGGCAUAAACGAUCUGCCGAAGCCGUGGAUGUCGCAAGACAUGGUAGGGGAGCAUUCCAUGCCGCGUCGAAGAUGAGGGAUGACCCUUGUUGGAGCGCAUGGAAAAGCAAAUGUAGGUAUGAGUAACGAUAAGGGGGGCGAGAAACCCCCCCGCCGAAAGACCAAGGUUUCCUGAUCAACGCUAAUCGGAUCAGGGUGAGUCGGGACCUAAGGCAAAGCCGAACGGCGCCGCCGAUGGAAGAAUGGGUUAAUAUUCCCAUACUGCCUCAUGGAGUGACGUGGAGACGGAGAAGUGACAGUCCUGCCGGCUGACGGAAUAGCCGGUUGAAGGGUGUAGAUAUUGAUUCCCGUAGGCAAAUCCGCGGGGAGAGUCGAACCUGAGAGUAUACGGAGCGCUUGCGCAACGUAAUAUGGACGUAACCAUGCUCCCGAGAAAAUCCGCUAAACUUAUCCAUGCGGCACCCGUACCGUAAACGGACACACGUGGUCGGGUUGAGAAUACUGAGGCGCUCGAGUGAUUCACGGUUAAGGAACUAGGCAAAUUGACCCUGUAACUUCGGGAUAAAGGGUCCUCGUCGUAAGGCGAGGCGCAGAGAAUAGGUCCAGGCAACUGUUUAACAAAAACACAUGGCUGUGCUAAAUGGAAACAUGACGUAUACAGCCUGACACCUGCCCGGUGCUGGAAGGUUAAGAGGAGAUGUCAUCGCGAGAGAAGCGUUGAAUUGAAGCCCCAGUAAACGGCGGCCGUAACUAUAACGGUCCUAAGGUAGCGAAAUUCCUUGUCGGGUAAGUUC
rnacentral:rRNA from 1 species